UGGGGAAUUUUGGACAAUGGGGGAAACCCUGAUCCAGCCAUCCCGCGUGUGCGAUGAAGGCCUUCGGGUUGUAAAGCACUUUUGGCAGGAAAGAAACGUCGCGGGUUAAUACCCCGCGAAACUGACGGUACCUGCAGAAUAAGCACCGGCUAACUACGUGCCAGCAGCCGCGGUAAUACGUAGGGUGCAAGCGUUAAUCGGAAUUACUGGGCGUAAAGCGUGCGCAGGCGGUUCGGAAAGAAAGAUGUGAAAUCCCAGAGCUUAACUUUGGAACUGCAUUUUUAACUACCGGGCUAGAGUGUGUCAGAGGGAGGUGGAAUUCCGCGUGUAGCAGUGAAAUGCGUAGAUAUGCGGAGGAGCACCGAUGGCGAAGGCAGCCUCCUGGGAUAACACUGACGCUCAUGCACGAAAGCGUGGGGAGCAAACAGGAUUAGAUACCCUGGUAGUCCACGCCCUAAACGAUGUCAACUAGCUGUUGGGGCCUUCGGGCCUUGGUAGCGCAGCUAACGCGUGAAGUUGACCGCCUGGGGAGUACGGUCGCAAGAUU
rnacentral:rRNA from 1 species